CACUGAAAAAAAGGCUUUUGCCAGUUUGUCAAAUAGACAUGUUUUAUUUUCAUAUAUUCUACAUGUUUUUUAUAUGUUGAUGUUGAAAACAUAUUGAGAUUGUGUUGGUUUUUUGUAUUCCUUACCAAUGUUAAAGUGUUAAGAAUUUGUUAUGUUGAUCUAAAACACUUCGGUUAUGUUUUCUAAAUGACUCCGCCCCUUUGCGAAGGAAUAUUCUGGAUUCAGAUAGCUGUCGGCCAUCUUUUUUUCCCAUUUCACCGAGAGGACUGGAUGCGUUUCACAAUAAAAAGAUAAAUGCUGAAUUCAAGCGCAUCACCACAAUGCCUGCAGACCAGGUUCCUGCCACAGUUAGACGUGCUGUCUGUCAGACUUCUUAAGCUAUUUCAGCGACGUGGAGGAAAAAUUGGAAGACAACUGCAGAGAAUUGUGGAACCCAUGGCCCAAGAUCCGGAUAAUGUUGACCUCAGGCGUGAGUGCAUUAUCAAGGGGCCCAGUGUGUACAUCAAUGAAGAUCCAGAAAACCUAAUAAGAGAAUAUGUGUAAGUAUAUCAUUAUAGUUUUGAAUAACGUUGCACUUGUUUAGGAGCAGUUUGAUUUUAUUUGGGAUGUCCUGAUCAGGUUUUUUUGGGUCCGAUUCAGAGUAAUUGGAUUUUGUGUA